UACGAAUGGGGCAAGCGUUGUUCGGAAUCACUGGGCGUAAAGCGUGUGUAGGCGGUUAAUCAAGUCAGAAGUGAAAUCCCAGGGCUUAACCCUGGAAUUGCUUUUGAAACUGAUUGGCUAGAGUACUGGAGAGGUUAGCAGAAUUCCGAGUGUAGAGGUGAAAUGCGCAGAUAUCAGGAAGAACACCCGUGGCGAAAGCGGCUCUCUGGAACGGUACUGACGCUGAGACGCGAAAGCGUGGGGAGCGAACAGG
rnacentral:rRNA from 1 species